CUGCCGUCCGCCGGCACCGGGCUGAGGCUGCAGGGAUGCCCCAGAGGUGACAAAGAGCGGGCACGGCGCCCAUCGGGGAAGGCCAGUGACACCACUCCUGCUGACGCUGGUCCAGUGCUGCUCCGUUCCCCCACCACCCUGCACGGUGGCCCUCGCAGAGUGCCCAUCCUCCUCCCCUCUACCCUGAACACAGCCGGUGGCCGAACGUCUUCCCGAGGCAUUGGUGCUCGAGUCCCUCCAUCUUCAAUAAAAAUGAAGCAGACUACGAAGGCUGACACGGGUCCAGGCUGAAACUCCACUCGCUGUAUUUAUUUCGUGCAGUUCGAUGCAGGCCCUCUCAUUUCAGCUGUUUGAAACGAUGUGUCGCUAGGAAGAGGUCACAGGUGACUGGCAAGUUCAACCUACUUAGCUCAAUUAUCCAAGUUUCAUUUUCAAAUUGUGUUCAAUUUGAUCUUCCUCCUUCCCUCCAAAUUAUCUCAGAGAAAAAAAAAAUCAAAUGAAAGCAGACAAUUUAAGCCAAAUCCUGUAUACCAUUAUUUAUAUGCAAAACCAUUUUUGUGAUAUAUACUCCCCUUAAUGACUAUGGAAUGCCAGAUCUUUCCAAGAGAAUUUACAAACCCAGCCAUCAAAUUAUUUCAAAGGCAGGCCUAUUAGGGACAAAAAUAAUUAUGAACUUUCAGAAGCUUUGUAAAAACAUAAGUUUCUGAAUGUUGUCUCUUUAAAUUUUUCUUAAGUUUGUUUUUAGUUUAAGCCUGGAGGCACAGUAGAGAGAUCUGCAGAGUCUAAUAAGGAGUUUGGAAAAUAAUGUGCUGUAAUCCAGUGCCGAGCUACUUCUCCAUAAAAUAUGGAUUAGGAAUCAAUUCAUAAGCACAAAUAUCUGCUAGGAUAGGGUUUUAACAAACAUUUCACAUGAGCAUUCUUAUAUGCAUUAUUAAGUAUAUAACAAAAGUGAUUCAAUUCAAACCCUAUACAGUCACAUCUGGAAAUGGUCUUUUCUGUCUAAUUUUCAUUUUUUUUCUCUCAAAAAAAUAAAAAAGUUAGAAGAAAAACUAG
rnacentral:lncRNA from 1 species